CCCGGGGUUACUUGCGCCCUCUAUAAAUGAAAGACGGUACCGCCAGUUCUGGGAAUCGCACAGGGGUGCGUACAAAUGGACCAGGACGCGGAGAGCACGGAAACAACGGUGCUGGGACCUUGUGCACAGAAUCCAGAUGCCAGAUGGGAAUUAAACAUUCGGCCGAGAAAAGCAAUCUAGUUCCCUGGGCUCGACUUUGACUCACUCCUUGGUCUGCACCAAUCCUCACAUCCCUCAGGUCCUCUAACUUUUACGACAGUAUCCAGAAAUCGAUUCUUUGGUCUCUACGGCUCCAGAAGGCUCGCUCAUCAAGAAACGUUCCAUUACCUUCGAUUAGAAGUGGAUACAUAUAUGAUUUUGGCCUAAAAAAAAAUUUGCAAAAAGGGAGAAUGCAAACUUGUCCUUUUCCUUUUGGAUUUACGGAGUGCCAGUAUCAGAGUCUAUUGAGGAGGAAUCUCUGAAAAUGACAGCUGAUGGGUGUAGAGACCCACGCCCGGAAUCUCAGCAACUGAAGUGGUUGAAGCAGGAGCAUCUGGGCAGAGCUUGAACCAGGAAGCUGAGCGGCACCAUAGGUGUUGCUAACCAAGCAUAGCAGCAUAAUAAAAAUGGAGUGAUUAAAUGUAUUAAGUUUGAAGUAUA
rnacentral:lncRNA from 1 species